UUCCAGACUCCUACGGGAGGCAGCAGUGAGGAAUAUUGGUCAAUGGGCUUACGCCUGAACCAGCCAAGUCGCGUGAGGGAAGACUGCCCUAUGGGUUGUAAACCUCUUUUGUCAGGGAGCAACGCCGGCUACGUGUAGCCGGACUGAGAGUACCUGAAGAAAAAGCAUCGGCUAACUCCGUGCCAGCAGCCGCGGUAAUACGGAGGAUGCGAGCGUUAUCCGGAUUUAUUGGGUGUAAAGGGAGCGUAGACGGCCAGACAAGUCUGAAGUGAAAAUCCAGCGCUUAACGUUGGAAGUGCUUUGGAAACUGCCGGGCUAGAGUGCAGGAGGGGCAGGCGGAAUUCCUAGUGUAGCGGUGAAAUGCGUAGAUAUUAGGAGGAACACCAGUGGCGAAGGCGGCCUGCUGGACUGCAACUGACGUUGAGGCUCGAAGGCGUGGGGAGCAAACAGGAUUAGAUACCCGAGUA
rnacentral:rRNA from 1 species